GUGACAGCAGCCCAGACUGGCCGAGACACUUACCCAGGUCCUGCCUCCUUUGGUCCCGCGCUUCUUUCCAAGAAGAAAACGUAGCAUCCCUCACCCCUAUGUGUGUCUCAUUCGUCCCCUUUGGCAAGUGACAUGUCAGCCACCACCCCUCUCAGGCCCUCCGGCUCCUGCCUCCAAGCUGGCCCCUCCUGAGAGGGGUCCCGCUGCCCCUCUGUCUGCCCCCCCAGACCUCACCCAGACCUGUGGCCGGGCCUCCUGCUUGCGGGGCUUCAGUGAUGCUGCGUUCAUCUCCAGCUCCUCCCUGGGCCUGGGGCUCUGCACCCACAGAGCACAGGCUCUCCCAGACACUUGCAACCAGCUUGCAACCAGCCCCCCACAGAGCCGACACCUUUGUGUCUAACCCGCCCCCUUUCCAAGGUCACCGUGCUGUGCGUGGCACCACCAGACGGCCUGUGGUCUCAGCCAGGAGCCCAGGUCCUACCUCAACCACUUGCCAGGACACAAUGCAGACUCAAUGGCCAAGGUGAUGAGAGACACGAUGCGGGUGACAGUCCCUCCUGCCCAGCUCGUCAUGUGGACUGCGACAGUCCGCUCAUGGAGUGCUGCUGCCUUGUGACUCUGAGGAUCUCACUGCUCUGAACAGGGGCAAACCUAAUUGGAAAUAAGGAUAAAAGCCCAGCUCCUUAAGAUGACCUGUUACGAGAUAAGUGAAUCAGUGAGGAGGAUGGGAACCAGAUUCCUGGACUGCGGAGCCAGGAGGACCACACAGUGACGGGCUUCUGUGCCACACUCAGGGCUUGUCCUUAACCCUGAAGACUCUGGGGAGCUGAUGAAGAGUUUUAAGCUGAUCAGCGACAGAGCCAGAUGAGUUUGGAAGGUAUUUUUAGAGGACUUCCAUUUUUACAAAGUGUAUUUGUGCAAGCGUCACCUCAUUUAACCUCCUGUAGGGUAGGUAUUGUUUCCAUUUGGCAAGCGAAGACUUCGAGACAUUAUUCAUUAAUCAAAGUCAGAGCGCUAAUAAAGUUGUG
rnacentral:lncRNA from 1 species